GAAACUCUCCACAGCUGAGCCAGAAUGUCUGUAGUUUUAAGAUAGGACCCGUGAGUGUUCACCAGUUCUUCAAAAGAAACUGUCCACAGCUGAGCCAGAAUAUCUGUAGUUUUAAGACAGGACCCGUGAGUGUUCACCAGUUCUUCAAAAGAAACCGACCACGUUUGAGCAAGAAUGUCAACGGUUUUAGGAUAGAGCCCAGAAACCGACCACGUCUGAGCUAGAAUGACUAUGAUGGCUUUACGAUAGGAUCCAGAAAAGUCUUCUUACUGGCUAAAAGUAGAAACUUUUGUAUUCAUCACUUUAAAAAUGAUAUUAAUAACAAUCAUAAAAAUCUGAGAAUUACGAAAAUAAUAUAAAAUUUAACAUGUUUUCAGAAACCGACCACGUCAGAGCAAGAAUUUCAACGGUUUUAGGAUAGA